AUAUGUUUUCAACACUGACCACUAGCACCAGUUGAAUGGGCAAGACGUGUGCAAAGUAUAAUUUAAGCUGAAGUCAUCUCUGCCACGUCACAAACCUUCACAGGAGCCCAGAAAAGCUACCUAUCGGCGAAAUCGGAGGUAAAAAUCAUGCCAGAUCCCUGCAAGUGUACCGACGGGUGCAAAUGUGUUGACUGCAAGUGCGGUGCUGACUGCAAGUGCAAGGACUCUUCCAAGGCCUGUGACUCCGGCGACUGUAAGCCUUGUGAGAAGGAGUGCAAGACUGACCAUGAUCACCACAAACAUUCUCACUGAACAGUGAUCCCGAGUGCUGAGGCCCUGCAGACUGACUUGACAAUGACAGAUCACACCAAGCUAACAGGGAGUCCAAAAAAUGCACAAUAUUUCUUAAAUUCCUUUAAAGUUUGAUAUACUGAGCAAGUCGGAGACAUAUGACACAUUGUUUUCGUUGUUCAGAAAAGCUUUCAAUUAAAAUGUAACAUUUCUGUAGACAUCAUCAUUAUAUCUUAUCACUCCAUCUCCUAAUCCAGCUGCGGGCUGCCUCGGUGGCCUCUCUUACAUGUCGAUCACUGUCUGAGCAGGUUGGGCCGAGUUCACAGUAGACAUGAAUACACUGAAGUAAAGAUGGCCUAAUUUUGCAUUGAUAAUAUCACUGCAAUAUAUACAACAUACCUUUAUAAGUCUUUUACCUAACUUACUGCAAGUAUCACAACCACUGCAAGAUGUCCUCAAUGUUCAUGAUUUUGUUAACAUCACAAAGCACAAAAGCAUAUACACAGUCACAGCAAAAACUGAAGAUUACACAUUCUCGAUUUUCCGCAUUAUGUUGAAUAGAUUCACAUUGCAAAA